rnacentral:rRNA from 1 species
GGUAAACGCUGGCGGCGUGCCUAAAACAUGCAAGUCGAACGGGCAGUCUUCGGAUUGUCAGUGGCAGACGGCUGAGUAACGCGUGGGUGACGUACCUAUCGGUGGGAAUAACUGCCCGAAAGGGUGGCUAAUACCGCAUACGUCCACUGCUUCGUGGCAGUGGGGAAAACCGCAAGGUGCCGAUGGAGCGGCCCGCGUUCGAUUAGCUGGUUGGUGGGGUAACGGCCUACCAAGGCGACGAUCGAUAGCUGGUCUCAGAGGAUGAUCAGCCAGACUGGGACUGAGACACGGCCCAGACUCCUACGGGAGGCAGCAGUUAGGAAUUUUGGGGCUAAUGGGCGCAAGCCUGACCCAGCAACGCCGCGUGGGUGACGAAGGCC